rnacentral:tRNA from 1 species
GGAGGCGUCGCCUAGUACGGUCCAUGGCGCCCGCCUGCUAAGCGGGAGUGGUCACAAGCCACACGCGGGUUCAAAUCCCGCCGCCUCCG